rnacentral:rRNA from 1 species
UACGUAGGGUGCAAGCGUUGCCCGGAUUCAUUGGGCGUAAAGGGCGCGUAGGCGGCUCGUGAGGGCUGUGGUGAAAGUCCGGGGCUCAACCUCGGAUCGGCCGUGGCGACUCGUGGGCUGGAGCACUGUAGAGGCGGGUGGAAUUCCGGGUGUAGCGGUGGAAUGCGUAGAGAUCCGGAAGAACACCAGUGGCGAAGGCGGCCCGCUGGGCAGUGGCUGACGCUGAGGCGCGACAGCGUGGGGAGCAAACAGG